ACACGGGGCUGUGACACCGCCUCACCCACCGACAGGCUGACACCAGCCAGGAGUACAGCAAGAGGCAAACCUCACCUCGCCGCUGCCGCCGGGUCCUGGCCAGGGCGGGUCAGCCCCAGGGCGGAGGAUCCCCUUCCGGCUGGUGGUAGCCAGCCCCGCGCCCCGCCACAGUGGCCCCCCUGAGUCCCGGGGCGUAAGGGGGCGGCAAACGUGGGACGAGCACUGGGCUUGGAGUCCGGAGCCCGGGGCUCCCAUCCCACUCGGUCCCCGCUCCGGUCCUCCGGGCCACCACCCUGGACCCCAGAUAGGGGGAGCGAGCGGCCUCCGCCUCUCUCGCCGCGAACAUGCACGCGCCCGGGGCACCCCGACCCUCGCGCGCCCCCCGCCGCGCCCCCGCGAGACGCAUGCGCCGCGCCCUCCUCGCCCGCGGCCCCGCUCGCGGCCCCGCUCCCGGUCCCGCGCUACCUGGGGCGGCGGGCGCGCAGCAGGCGGGCAGGCGGCAGGGCGGCCGCCGGCAGGCGCAGCACCGGGAGAAGGCCCGCGCGGCCGGCAUCAGGCCCAUGGCGCGCCCGGUGCGGCGGCGCAGGAAUGCCCGGCACGCGCGCAGGCUCCGCAGGAAUGAAUGCCGGCAGCAGCUCCCAAAGAGGGUCCUUUCCUCCCGGGGCGCCGAGGACUCACUCUAGCAGCUCCUGUUCCCCGCAGGCUGGGAGGCAGGUGUUCCGGUGUAACAGCGGAGGCCCAGGAAGGUCAGGGAGCCACUCCUGUCACAUAAGCUUCCUUUGAAUUCCCACCAAACUUGUCUCCGUCCUGCCCAGAGGUCGUCAGGCUCUCUCCCGCCCAGCUGCCCUCCUGCCACUCUGAGCCUGCACGUCUUCUUGAAUGUUGAUGUGUGCAUAUUUUUAUAUACCCAUGUUCAACUUUUAAGAAAUGGCCACGACCGACUUCCCCAGCGAGGGCACCAUUCCGCUGCCAGCCAGCAGAGGACGAGAGCUCCAGACUUCACUGGCCAGCACCCGGGCUUGUCCGUCUUCCUACUCCCGGCCACUCUGAUGGGUGUGCAGAGGGACAGCGCCAUGUUUGAAUUUCCAGCUCUCAAACGACGAAUGAUUUUGGACACCUUUUAUGUACUUCACUGCCACCUGUGUCUCUCCUUCAGUGAAAUCUCUGUUGAAAUCAUUUGUCCAUUUUUUGAAAUGGAUUGUUCAUUUUUGCCUCA